CUCAGGAUGAACGCUAGCGGCAGGCCUAAUACAUGCAAGUCGACGGUAACAGGUGUAGCGAUACAUGCUGACGAGUGGCGCACGGGUGCGUAACACGUAUGCAACUUUCCUUCAACUGGUGAAUACGCCCCUACGAAAGAGGGAUUAAUACACCAUAAUAUAAUGAGAUGGCAUCAUCUUAUUAUUAAACCCCGGUGGUUGAAGAUGGGCAUGCGCAACAUUAGCUAGUUGGUGAGGUAAUGGCUCACCAAGGCUACGAUGUUAGGGUUCUAAGAGGAUUAACCCCCACACCGGUACUGAGACACGGACCAGACUCCUACGGGAGGCAGCAGUAAGGAAUAUUGGACAAUGGUGGCAACACUGAUCCAGCCAUGCCGCGUGCAGGAUGAAGGCCCUAUGGGUUGUAAACUGCUUUUAUACGGGAAAAAACCUCUCUACGUGUAGAGAGCUGAUGGUACCGUAAGAAUAAGGAUCGGCUAACUCCGUG
rnacentral:rRNA from 1 species